rnacentral:rRNA from 1 species
UACGUAGGGGGCAAGCGUUGUCCGGAAUCAUUGGGCGUAAAGCGCGUGUAGGCGGUCCGAUAAGUCGGCUGUGAAAGUCAAGGGCUCAACCCUUGAAUGCCGGCCGAUACUGUCGGGCUAGAGUCCGGAAGAGGCGAGUGGAAUUCCCGGUGUAGCGGUGAAAUGCGCAGAUAUCGGGAGGAACACCAAUGGCGAAGGCAGCUCGCUGGGACGGUACUGACGCUGAGACGCGAAAGCGUGGGGAGCAAACAGG